GAAAUGAAAUCGACGAAUGAUAAAAAAAAACUCGAGGAACUAAAUGAACAGAAAUGAAGAAAGCAAAAGGUCAUUUUACAUUAGGGUAAAUUUGUCACUAAAUAUUUCAUUAAAAAGUGGGUGUAGGAUUAAGACAUGUGGGUGAGUUUAUCACCACUGAAUAAAAAAAAGGGUUUUACAUGGUAAUUAUCGACCAAAUACAACCAUGAAUACGUGGGUCUGAAUAUGUCGACAUUCGCUCCCCCGGCAUUUUCUUCUCCAUUUCCAAAUUUUCUCAAUUUUCUGUUUGGAUAUCGGGAAAAUCUUCAAUUGAGUAGAUCUUGCUGCUGAGUGACUAUAACGUGGAGACAAUAAACGAUGGGCUAAAUAAAUUCAAUGUGGAAUUCCAUGGUCCAAAAGAAAGUAAUGUCUGACGCCCCUGCUUCUAGUGGCACGCCGGCAAAUUUGGGUCAAACAAGGCGCAAGUAUCAAGUUUAUUUAGAAAUUAAGAAUGCUAUUAUCCUGCUGUUGAUUAUCAAAUCCCUUUUAUCUGGUUCUGUCUGCUUUAGAUGUAAUUAACCAAUCAUGGAGUCCAAUGUUUGACCUGUUAAAUGUUUUUGAAGUUUUCCUGCCACAACUGUUGCUUUAUCCAAAUCCUUCAGAUCCACUCAACGGUGAUGCAGCAUCGUUGAUGAAGAGGGACCGAAAACUCUAUGAUCAGAAGGUCAAAGAGUACUGUGAGCGACAUGCAAAGAAGGAACACAUUACCAAUACAACACCAGAUGAGGAGAGCGAUGAGAACAUUAGUGAUGAGGAAAGCAAACUCAAGCGACAAUGAUAUUGCUGGACAUGCAGACCCAUGGUGAAUUGCAGGACAUUCGUUCUUCUUCUGAUGCCAUGUGCUCCUGUAUAUUCCAGUCCUUGAAUUUGUAGCUGAAUUCUUCAUAGAAUAAAAAAACAUGUUUUUCUUCCGCAUUGCGUGUGAUCAAGCGGGGUCUUAGGAUGCUGCUAUGACAUGCUUUGGAAGUGUAGUAGUAGUAAUGUUUGGCGUUCUCAGCUUCAUUGGAUUCUAGUUCGUAUUGGAAGAAGCUUGCCUUUGUUGCUUUGCGGUCAUCAAAGGUGAUUGUAGCUUUACCUGUCCUAUAACUAAGAACAUACCCGAUCACACUUACACCGAUGUCCUGCAAAAAAAAAAGAUAAACUAGUCAUAUCAUACACUUACAGCUUAUUGAAACAUAUGAAUAAAGUAAUAUUAAUGUUAAUUUAGACAUACAAAACUAACACCAUAUUUAAUACAUGUGCUCACUAUCAUUGUAUUAUCAGCAAUUGUGUUAUACCUCAUGCUCGGCUUUUUCUUUGUGACUCUCUAUCGCUGCAUCCAAAAUAGCAUGUUGCUCCGCCAGCACCUCUUCCUCCACAUCCUCCCCCUCCUCCCCCCUCCCCCUCCCCCUCCCCCACCAGUACCCCUUUCGGACUCCUAUUUGUCUUCUCCAAAUUAUCCAGCCGCCGCCACCAAUUGACGGCAGUGAGCACAAUGCCAUGCACGAGUAUGAAAAGGAACGCUGGAUUUACGUAAUCGGAUACAUUACUGAAUUCCACUAAAGCAAGUGUUAAUCCCAAUAUUGGCGCAUAGAUGGUUGCUUUCUGCAUUAGCCCUCGCCAAAAUAUUUGAAUAAACCCUGAAACUCACAUGGAAGAGACAAAUUGGGGCAAGCCUUAAGUUUUGAGUUCAGUAGGAAUUGAAAAGAAAGAAACUUAAUAGAAGAGACAAAUUGGAGCAGGCUUAAAUUUGAGUUCAAUAAAACUUAAAUCGAAAUAAUCUUACCCAUUGAGCCAGCCUCCGACUCUGACCGACCAACAACUUCGGCCUCCAUGGAUUGCAGAGAGUCGAAUACCGAAAGAGAGUCGAAAACCAAAAGUUUUGAGCAGACAAAACCUAAAGCACAACCAGGCCAAGCGGCCAAGCUCAAUAUUUAUAAGUCUUUCUUGCAUGCCAAGAUACUUUGUAGCCAGGGUUUUGACCAAGUAACAGCAACUAGGUCCGAAAUAAGGAAGAAAAUAGGGCAGAAGAGUAAAAACAUUAAGGUCCGAAAUAAGGAAGAAAUUAGAGGAAAAGGGUAACAGCAACUAGGUCUUUGCCCAAGUAACAGCAACUAGGUCCGAAAUAAGGAAGAAAAUAGGGCAGAAGAGUAAAAACAUUAAGGUCCGAUAUAAGGAAGAAAUUAGAGGAAAAGGGGCAACUAGGUCCGAAAUAAGGAAGAAAAUAGGGCAGAAGAGUAAAAACAUUAAGGUCCGAAAUAAGGAAGAAAUUAGAGGAAAAGGGUAAAAAGCUAGGGUCCAAAACAAGGAAGAAACUAGGGCAGAAGAGUAAAAAACUAGGUUCUGAAAUAAGUUAGUAUUAAUCUAAUAAAGUAAAAAUGCAACUCAAGAAUUUGCAGCAUAAAACUUGAUUUCAUUCAUUCCUCAAAUGUCUAAAUACAAGUUAGUAUUAAUCUAAAUAAAGGUUAAAACACAACUUGGGGUCCAAAUUGUUGAGAAUAUCGCGUUUAAGAACGGGAAAAAUAGAACAAACUCCGAAAAUCAAAAAUAAAUAACCAAGAUAAAUAACACCAAGAAUUUACGUGGUUCGGCAAUAUGUGCCUACGUCCACGGGACAUCAACAACAAUCUUUCACUAUAUCAAUAACAAGUACAACCAAUAAUCUUGCCAAAUCUCUAGAACUACGACUUGAAGAAAAAUCUGAAAUAACAAGAAGAAGAAAUACACUAUCUCUUUUCUUUUCUCUCGCACACUUUACAAUAUUCUCUCACUCUAAUCCCUUGAGUGGUAUACAAUUUAUUAUUUUGCUCCCUUCAAUUCAAAACCAAAAUUUUAGAGCAAAUAAAACCUAAAGCCAAGCAAUUCAAGCGGCCAAGCUCAAUAUUUAUUAGGGACAAGAUAGUCUCAACCCUAGUGUUGCGUCUUCUUGUAGGCCUAAGAUACUUUGUCGCCAAGGCUUUGACCAGGUAACAGAAAUUAGGGUCCGAAAUAAGGAAGAAAUUAGGGCAGGAGAGUAAAAAACUAGGGUCCGAAAUAAGGAAGAAAUUAAGGCACAAGAGUAAAAAGAUAGGAUCCGAAACAAGGAAGAAACUAAAGAGUAAAUAACUUGUGUCCGAAAUAAGUUAGUAUUAAUCGAAAUAAAAGUUAAAAUGCAACUCAAGAAUUUGCAGCAUAAAACUUGAUUUCAUUCCUUCCUCAAAUGUGUAAAUACAAGUUAGUAUUAAUCUAGGGGGUGUAUUCAAUUGGGAUUUUAAGGGAUUUUAAUUAUUUUAAUGAAUCUAGGGGUAUUCAAUCAGGAAUUUAAGUGAUUAUCUGAAAUUCAAUAUGUAUUCAAUCAGGAUUUUAAGAAAAUUUAUUAAACUUCUUAGAAAUCCGGGUGUAUUCAAUUAGAAUUUUAAAGAAAUUUAUAACAUUCCAAGUGUAUUCAAUUAGAAUUUGAUUUUAAAGAAUUUGAAAAAGUUGAGGAAUUAGAGGGAAUUAAAGAGAUUUUGUAGUGUAUUUUAAGCAUUCACAUAUCUCACCCCUCCCCAAGAGAUUUUGAGGGAAUUGAAUAAAAAAUUUACAUGAAAUCUCUACAAAUCAAUUAGACUUCAUAAAAAUCCAUCAAAAUCUCUUAAAUUCCCAAUUGAAUACACCCCUAAAUAAAAGUUAAAAUGCAACUCAAGAAUUUGGGGUCCCAAUAGAGUCCAAACUCAAUUUUGAUCACAUUCGCAUUUUAUCCCUUUUUAUUAGUGCAUCCUUAUUAUUAUCAAAAUAAAGUAAAAACUCCUAUCACUAAAAACAACAUAGCUUGGCUGCUUAAACAAAAAAGCACCCAAUAACAAUUUGACAAGCGUCCAAUUUUUUUUUUUUAAAUAAAGCUUGAACAAACAACUUGAAUUCUUAUCAUGUUGUUAUUGGAUGAGAACAUGAGCUGCUGCUUUAUUUUUUAGCAGCCAAGCUUUGUUCUAAUAAAACUACAGAGAAUGAAACUGUAUUAGCCAAUCAUGUAAUUCCAUCAUUUAUUCCUUUUAAUAUUUUUUCAAUUUAUAAAAUAUUUUUUUUAGUACAUCGAUAUUUUUACAUUAGUGGAAAGAGAAGUUUGAUUAAGCCAUACAAUGGACAACCUAAUUUGGUAUCGAAUUUGCCAUCUACAAGAUUCGAACUUAAACCUCUCACUUUUAAAUAAAAAAGAAUAUCACAAAAUCGUAAUAUUUAGUAACAAUAGAUUAAUCAAAUUACUUAAAUUUUAAAUAAUGUUAGAAAAUUUAAAUGCGUGUGAAAUAAAAAGAGUUGUGUACCUAAUUUUAUAUUUCUUACACCUCGCACGUCGCAUCUCGCACCUGCAAAACAAGCCGUCUUCCCGUCGUACCGUAGCAGUUUUCUGAAGGAAAAAAUAAUUAAAAAAAAAAUAAAAAGCAGCAAAUUAACCCGGCUUCUUCGGUCCUCUGCUUCUUCAAUCUCCAUCUCCGAUACGAAUCCCAAUCCGCACAGAAACCGUUUUGCCGCGCAAAUGCGCGACAUGGAUUCUUCUCUUUAUUUAUUCUGAUCUCUCUCAUCCUCAUCAACUUAUCGACCUCCGCAUCGCCGUCCGAUCCUCGUUGGGCAGCUAAGAAGCGACGCCUCAGAGAUAAAGUCCAAGUCCGUAGGGUGUUUUGCACUUUCGUUUGUAUGAUGUUCAAACUGGUUUCUUGGUAAAAGUUUCACCGACCCUCUUGGUCAACUUGGAAAUCUGAAGCUUGAAUACUUACCCCAAGACUAUAGUGGAUCCGCUUUGACACUUAUCGAAUCGUUGUCCAGGUUUGACAGAUUAUGUCACAUCCUUGUCAUUAUGGGUAACAACGCUGAAUUUGAAAGUGCAAUUGUUUGGCUUUCCUCAAGAAUUUGAAAUUCAAUGUCAAUGCGAGGGUAAAUCUCUUUGAGUGCAACAUAAGAGUACUUGGAGGGUUUGUUUCAGCUCAUUUACUUGCGACUGAUUCUACAAACAGGCUGGGUCAAGGAGUUUACAAGAAUCAGAUGCUUACCUUGGCCGAGGACUUAGGGAAAUGCUUCCUAACUGCAUUUAACACACCCACUGGAUUGCCAUAUGCAUGGAUUAACUUAAAGAAGGAUAUAUGACUCCGCAUCAAUGCUAAAUUCUGUGGACCGUGUGGAUGGAGUGAUGGAGAAUGAGACUACUGAAACGAGCACUUCAGGGUGCGGUUCUCUAAUUCUGGGAAUGGGAGCAUUGUCCCGAUCGACUGGAGACCCCAAAUAUGAAUCAGCAGCUUAAUUUGUGCGCUCUUCAUAAAUUAUGGGGCAUGUGGAGUUCGUUGAAUUUACUCGGUACAACGCUGGAUGUAUCAACUGGUGCAUGGAUUGUGUAUUCAUCUGGAAUUGGAGCUGGUAGGUUUCGUCGGGGCUUUGAGGUCUUUAAUGCACUGCAUUACAAGUAUAUUUAGUAGUUUACUGGGUUUCCCAAAUAGUACAAGGGCCAAUAUUUCCUUGUGCAGUCUGUUGCCGCGCCCAUUCCUUAAUGUAUUUUGAAUGCGUAGAGUUUGAUGUUUCUGAUGUUGGAUUAUGUGAUUGGGGGGUUUUGUUUGAUGCCCAUCAUGGGAUUUCUUUUAAGCUUGCCGGGUUGGUCAA